UAGGGCCAGAUCUUCUCUUCUACGCUGUGAUCAACUAAAAGAUAAAACUUUAAUGCCUUCAUAAUAAAUUUGAAGAUUAGAUGUAUAUAGUACAGGUAAUUCUGUACCAGCUAAAGUCUGGUACAAGAGCUCUGGUUAUUUUUGGGGGACACAGACAUCACUUCAUCUGAGCUAUGUCUCCCGUCUACCUGGAGCACACCUUGAAAAUGGAUCCUCCUGGUAUAACAGGUAUGCUGAACUAUCUUGACUGGGUAAGUUAUACAGGUGAUAGCUCCGAAUAUUUUCUCUACUGAUUGUCCCAAAAGUGUAAGGAAAUCCCCGCUUUACGCCUGGUGGCACCUCCCAUAAUAAUACUUUAAACAAGUGGCAGUACUUCCUGUAUGAAGUUGGUUAUUAGGCGUGUGGUCACCCUGAGUGGGCCCAGGAGCUGUGCCACGGAAGUCCCACGUGUCUCUCAGAGAUGAGACAAGAUAUUUCCUCUCCCAUCCCAUGGAAAAGAAGGAAGAGAAGGAUUCCAGAACAGGUGUGCAUCAAUAAAUAAACGAAUGAUAUAUAAUUUGCAAAUUUGUUAUAAGUAAACAUAUAUAUAUACAUGUAAGUUAUAAGCAAAGUAUAUAUACACAACUUGUAAGCAUCUAGAGUUUCUAAAACCAUUGGAUGAAAGGUUGAUGGGUCAAACUGAGAACCCCUUAAACCAUUAGUCAUUACAGAAAGUGAGACAACGAGGCAUAUAUUUUUUUUACAGGAAAAUGAAGUUUACUUGUUGGUUUGCUUUCAUGUCUGGGACUGUGACCCCCUUUGUUAACCCUUAUGCUUGACCCUGCCAUCCUCGUUAUUACUUUAAAAAUGACCCCGAUGUUUCCAUAUUGUUCUCUGACUCCCCGGUUAGCAGGUCAGUGUAUAUCUUGGCCUCUCAUAAUCUCAGCAGGGUUUCUAGUCGACUGGUUCAGGUGGAAGUAUCGAGAAACAUGCUUGGCCUCACAGGUCAUUAGCUCCUUCUGACCACACAACAGAAGCAAAGAGACCACAGCCUCUUUCCUUGCAGGGCCCACCAGAACAUUACUCUGGUCCUUUAGGGCGAUGAUUCUAGAGGGAAAGUGCCCCUGAAUCCACGCACUCCUUCUUUCGAGAUAGUAAAAGUGGCAUGAUAUUUUUCAGUCAAAUGACUUCUUGUUAGCAUUUACAGAUCUGUGCAACGAACCACGAGAUGGUAGGUUUUAAGUCUUUCCGAGUUGGAAUACGUAUGCGCCUAUAAGGAGGGUCUCUCGGUCGUGCAGGUGUUCCAUGAAGAACUGUUUACUGAGUGAUGCACUGCCAGGCAUCACAUUAAAUGAUGAGAACACAAACGUGAAAAUACAUCCAUCUGUAUCAUGCUGCUCACAGCCCAAAGUUAUCUCAGGUAGAUUACCCCAUACGGAGGUCCUGAGAGGUGGAAUUGAGAACAGCGGUGGGGUGUGAAAGACCAACAGGGAUGGUAGGGAAGCCAAGAGAGAACUUCGUGGUGAACAAGAAACCGCUCGGGGAAGCCAGGGCUCCGGUCCCUCAGUCCCUCUAGGAGACGGUGUGAAACAGGCUCCAACACAUGAGCAAGCACCAACACAGUCCAUCAUCAGACCUCAGAGUUUGACAGGGUUUAGAAAUUUGCUGAACUUGCCAUUUCCUGACAUAAUGAGGAAAUCAAUGUGUCUUGCCUUUUGAAACACUUUUGAGUUCAGAAUGAUUCGACAAGAGUGUGCCAUGAUAAGCAGAAACAAAACUGCAAGAGCUUGCUCAUCAACUCAGAAUCAAAGAUCAUUUACAGAUAAAACCAGGUUAAUUUAUUGACUGGGACCCUCCCUAUUUUGUGUCUAUAGAAAUAAACUUCACCAUCUGGUAAAGGCUCAUUCUGUAGUUGUGAGCAAUAUUCUAGAAAAUACGGAAGGUCUGCCCUUUCCCAUGUUCAAACAGAUUUGACAGCUGGGUGUACGAUGGUGAGGUUUACUUUGAGGAUAGUUGUAAGAUAAGGAACAGUUUAAAGAAGUAAAUGAAACAUGGAAGAGAAAGUGAGGCUAUAGUUUUGAAAAUGUUUCAAUACAAAACUGAAACACAGAUAUGUACUAUUUAAACAAAAAAAUGGCUGGAAGGUCGGCCUCUACAAAGAGGUCCCAGAGGAGGAUGAAUUGGAGACUGCGGGCAGGCCGAACAGAGAGGAGAAAUGACCGUGUCAGGGUGGGCAAGAGUCGUGUACAAUGAAGGAGGAGAUAAAGGCAGCCAUCAGCAAUUCCAAUUCCAUCUUUUCUCUUGGGAAGGAAUGAUGGUGGUCUGUAAGGUGGAACCAGACAGUGAUUUAGAAGAGUCAGACAGCCAGAGUCAUGCCCCAGGAUCUGUGUCUUGAGGAGUGGCCAAGAACUCGCAGUCCCCGUGGCAUGGUCCAGAACGGGGUGUCCAGGAAACUCCACAAUCUUGCACUCAGGUGCUGGAGUGCAAGGCCGCCUCUGUAGGUACGGUGAUAAAAAUGUGUUUAACUUGGCUUUGGAGAUAAAAACAGCACCCUGCACCUGUUGCUCUCCCAAGGCAAAGGUGGGAUACUUCCAAACAGAUCAGCACAAAAAAUCCAUUUUUUUCUUUCCUAAUGGCACUAAGCAGAGUUAUGAUACCAACAGUGAUGGGUAAGAUGGGUGAGCAUUAAAACACAAGCUUGUUUAGAUCUGCACACUCAGUGUCCCAAUCAAAAUGUCACAGAAUUAAGCUUUUUAAUGCUACAGUGUUUCAUGGUUUUGUCAGCAGAGUGGAUAUCUCAUGACCUCCAAGAAGGGCUAAAAGAGGGCAGAUGCCAUCCUGUGAUAGUCAGUGAAGUGAAUUAAUCCAUGAAGAAAUUGAUGAAAAAUCACACUGAUAGAGAUGCUACGUUGAUUUCAAGAUGGCUAUGGAAUGGCCAGAGGACGAAUAUAUAGAGAUAUAUAGCACUAACAAAUCUAGCUUGGAGAAGUAGAUUUUGAGUCAGCCUAAGAUGCUUAUUCUGGGAAGCUGUGGGUAAUGAGGACACUGGCUGGAGAGAAUGUGUCCAGGGAGAUGAGAGAAGCCAAGGGAGGUCUCAGGAAAACUCAACAGAUAGAGCUGUGGAGCUAUACUCCAGAAAUAAAGUUACUGAUUUUAAAUUAUUUUUAUUAGUUUUCAAAUUUUGUCCACGGGAAAUGCAUGAUAUUUUUAAAGAGAAAAAAUAUAAGAGAGAGAGAGAGAAAUUCAGGCAGAGGAAGAUCAACUAAGAAAAAUUUGCAAAAAAAUAUUUUUAGUAUUUCUAUAUUUUAGUAUUUUUGACACAUAUGAGUUUGUGGACAUAUAUCAUGAGGAGUGGCCCACAAUUUGAUAUGAAAGUCGAAUCAUCUUAAAGCCAUGUCCAAUAUCUUCAGAUAGAUUUUUAGAUAUUAUUAAAACAAUUACAAUAACAAAAUUGAGGGUCUGAGGCAGUCUACAGCAUCAAUCAAAUAUGAUGACCUCUUCUCAAGUCACCAUUCGGUAACCUUUUAAGUCUAUUGAUUUGAAGUAUUUUAUCUAUAAUUCUAUUAGCAUCACCACUAAUAAGUACCAGUGAUUAGGUACAAAACAUUUGCUGGGAUAAGUGUUAAAAUCUUAUUACAUCUAAUCCACACAAAAAUUUUCAAGAUGACAAUUAUUUUUCCUAUUCUAUGUGUUUAAAAGGAUUAAGACGCAGGUACUGAAGAUAAUAAAGUAAGGUCACACAGUAAGCAUCGGAUUUGUACUUUUAAACACAGGUUAACUUACUCCAGAGAAAGUACUUUAUUUAUUUUUCAGGAGUGCUUUAACAAAGAUAGUCUGUCAUCUGAUUUUACGGAAAGGAAAUAUCUGAGAAUGGUUUAUGCAUGUGCCUUUCAAAUAUGUAUGAAUUUCAAUCAGUACACGGUACCUGCUGGAAGAGUAUCUGGUACUCCUGCUGGGGGAGGAAGAGUUCCCUCCUUAUGUGACACAAAGCAAUUGUUUUUCUCAAUGAAUAAAGACAAAC
ensembl:lncRNA